rnacentral:rRNA from 1 species
GACGAACGCUGGCGGCGUGCUUAACACAUGCAAGUCGAACGGAAAGGCCCUGCUUUUGUGGGGUGCUCGAGUGGCGAACGGGUGAGUAACACGUGAGUAACCUGCCCUUGACUUUGGGAUAACUUCAGGAAACUGGGGCUAAUACCGGAUAGGAGCUCCUGCUGCAUGGUGGGGGUUGGAAAGUUUCGGCGGUUGGGGAUGGACUCGCGGCUUAUCAGCUUGUUGGUGGGGUAGUGGCUUACCAAGGCUUUGACGGGUAGCCGGCCUGAGAGGGUGACCGGCCACAUUGGGACUGGGAUACGGCCCAGACUCCUACGGGAGGAAGCAGUGGGGAAUAUUGCACAAGGGCGGAAGCCUGAUGCAGCAACGCCGCGUGCGGGAUGACGGCCUUCGGGUUGUAAACCGCUUUCGCCUGUGACGAAGCGUGAGUGACGGUAAUGGGUAAAGAAGCACCGGCUAACUACGUG